GUACCGGAACCCUCCGGCGGAAUCAGAUAGCGAUAGCGAUGGUGGUUUUCACCGAUCAAAGUCCCAGCUAUCCCCGUUGGAUCUGCGAGUGAUGAUGGGUCGUACGGGACGUCCAACGUUGCUGAUGGGUGGCCACGUUUUCACUCGCAAUAACACUCACAAAGAUAAAACCUAUUGGUUGUGCUCGAAGAGUCGCUCGCUGAAGUGUCGCGCCCGGAUUAUUACCCUGGACGGUAGUGGGGGACUGGUUCUCAAGAAUCAGAUCCAUAACCAUUCGGCGGGUGGAAAUCGCUAGUGCAGAUGUAAAAAUAAAGAAUAAAACACUAGACUUUUAGUUUUUUUUUCAUAUCAUUUAUACAUGCCGUACUAGAUUCUUCGAUUUCUCACUAACCACCGCCUAAUUCUCACCCCUUACAGGAAAAAUCGUCGUCAAGGAAAAGUCAACGGAAGAAAAAUUCUUCUUCGUCCGCACCGCCGAUGGUCGCUUUAAAAUUCAUGCAAAUGCCCCUUCAUCAAAAAUCAAGAAGGAAAAAGCACAUCCACAGCAGAAAAUGGUUAAUACUGGAACCAGACUGAUUCGAUCUGGAAUCAUCUUUCCCCUAAACGAAGGAACAGAAGUGGAACAGUUGGAACAACUUGUGAAGAAGAAUUCUACAAUCAGGCAGGAAUAUAUUAAUGUUCUGAAGCUUAAGCCUAGGGAUACGCAAAUCGUCCAUUACAUGCACAACGUUUUCACAGACGAUUCACUUAUUGACUACAAUUACAAUAAUGGCCAUGGCAAACGCGCCAUGCGAAUGUACGACAUAUUUUCCAAAUGCUUCAUGGACGCGUACGAAGCGGAGGAACUUACAGAGUUUGAGCUUGCCUACCAGCUGACGUUGGCGAUCAAGCAAAGUCGAAACCGGAUGCGGCAGCGCAUGUUCCGCGCUAGGAAAAUUGUGAAAGCAAGUUGUGGAAAGAGAAAGCGUACUCCAUAACCAUCCUGCGGGUGGAAAGCGCUAGUGCAGAUGUAAAAAUAAAGAAUGAAACCAGAUCUUUUGUUUUUAUUUAUUAUAUCUACAUACAGUACUAAAUUCUUCGAUUUCUCACUAACCACGCCCUAAUUCUCACCUCUUACAGGAAAAAUCAUUGCCAAGGAAAAGUUAACGGAAGAAAACUUUUAUUUCGUCCGCACCGCCGAUGGUCGCUAUAAAAUUCAUGCAAAUGCCCCUUCAUCAAAAAUCAAGAAGGAAAAAGCACAUCCACAGCCAAAAAUGAUUAAUACUGGAACCAGACUGAUCCGAUCUGGAAUCAUCUUUCCUCUUAACGAAGGAACGGAAGUGGAACAGUUGGAACAACUUGUGAAGAAGGAUUCCAUAAUCAGGCAGGAAUAUAUUGAUGUUCUGAAGCUCAAGCCUAGGGAUACCAAAAUCGUCCAUUACGUUUACAACGUUUUCGCGGACGAAUCACUUAUCGGCUACAAUUACAACGGAGUUAACGUUGUUGGCCAAACUAAACGUGCCAUGCGAAUGUACGACAUAUUCUCCGACUGCUUCAUGGAAGCGUAUGAAGCGGAAGGACUUACAGACGUCGAGCUUGCCUUCCAGCUGACGUCGGCGAUCAAGCAAAGUCGAAACCGGAUGCGGCAGCGCAUGUUCCGUGCUAGGAAAAUUGUGAAAGCAAGUUGUGAAAAGAGAAAGGGAACCCCAUUUGAGACUUGAUGAACUUGAUGUCUACCUUAAUGAUUCAAUUAUUUACAUUUUAAGACGCUCAGCUUCUUCAUUGUUUUUUUAGUGCUCUUAGCCUUAUAAUGAGGUUCGGGAAUCAGUACUUUCUUUUUAUAAUGAAUUCUAACAUGCUUACAUUUUUUCAUCCCGAAGACAGGUUUAUUUUAUUUUGAAUAAGUGCUAAUGGAAUGCAAUAACUCUUACCACUACGAUACCAUACCUCAGAAAUACUUUACUUUGUAGAAGUAAUGUUUUCAUCAGAAAAUGUUCGAAUCCAACACUCAAGUAAAAAUAAAAUAAAAUUAAAAAAAAAACAAAUAAAACAAAAUUAUCUGUUAACGUGUAUUCUUCAGCAGAACAAACUUCUUGAAGCUUAAACUAAUUAUACCAACUCCUCUCCAUUCCAGACCAAGAGUUCAUGAUGAUAGAAAUCUGCUCCGAUGAAGCCACUCGGCAUGCCUCCGACGAUGAUGAGCAAACCAAAGCUACAGUUUCCACUGGAGGUAAUACUGCAAUAAGAUCACUUCGGUUAGCGGGAUUCACGUUUCCUCUGAAACGUGCAGAAGACAUCGAACGCUUGGAGAAAGCCGUCAGAGCAGAUUCGUUCGUUCGGAAAGAAUACAUUCGCUACGUGUCAUCUCGGGUGGGCGAUCAUCGUAAUAUUACAACGCACAUCAGAAGGCUUUUCAGCGAUAGAUCUCUUGAGAAUUACACGUAUCAUGGGGUUAGCAAUCCACAAUAUCCUCGGAAAGCAAUGAAAGACUACGACAUCUUCACCAAGUGUUUGCUAGUUGCUUGGGAGGACGAUGACAUCACGGCGGAUGAGCUCAGAAUGUCGCUUAUCAAGGCAACACAAAAAGCGAAGCAGCAUUUAUCGUCCGCUCGGUACUACCAGCGCUACCGGAAACAGCUUCUAGAGAAACGGAAAGCCAGUUGGAAGAGCAAAAAGCUGCUCGAGUAGUUCCGAGUGUUCGGUGUACGAGUCAAACAUCACAUGGCCGCCAAGCUCGGCUAUACCCAGCGUGGGAAGACGCUGCUGCUGUUCAACGGAUUCGCCUACGUCAAGGACCGCGAAGCCAUCAAAAGCUGCCACUGGAAGUGCUCGCUGUAUGGGAAGCUGAAGUGCCGUGCCAGAGCCGUCACCAAAACGGCAGUCGACGGCCAGUUGAUGAUGAAAGUCACCAAGUCGAGCCAUAACCACGGCCAAGAUGCGUACAAAUUCGAACUUUCCACAAUGAAUAAACCAUGAAGCGGAUGUUAAUCGGACGCGUUUUUCUUCAAAAGUUUAGAAUAAUACCGUGAUUGCAGGACUAACCUCCUUUUUUUGCACUUUCGUAGGUUUUCCAGAUGGGGCCUAAUUUGGGAAAACCGCGCAAGGCUGUCUUAUGCUGUGGCACGGAAACUACGGGUAUUUCCGUGAGAAGCAGAAGCACAACACCACC